rnacentral:lncRNA from 1 species
AGAACAAUCAAGGAUGUAUUUUUUGAGAUAACAAAUCAAGGAUGUAUUUAAGUCAACAUAAUAAAAAUCUAACUAGAUCUUAACAAGUGAUGUGUGCAAGAUAUUCACAUGAUAUUCUUGCAUAAAUAAUUUGUUUAUACUCUACUUCUAAUUUAAGCUAAGUUACCCUUGGAUUCCAUUGACAAUUCAAUUAGAAAAUUCCAAAUCAAAAUUUUCUUUAAGAAGGU